GCCUAGUUAGCUUAGUUGGUAGUGCGUCUGCCUUGUAAGCGCUAGGCCGCGGGUUCGAUUCCCGCCGGGGGCU
rnacentral:tRNA from 1 species